GCAGAUAGGAGUAAAUAUGAAUCAGGUCUAUGCCACCAGGAAUGCAGCAAAGGAGUGAAUUCAAUCAGAUUAGAGGGUUGUUAGUUUUUUUUUUUUUCCACAAUGCCAUUCAAGGCCUGGAAAGGCAGUCCCUGUCCCCUUGAACCAGUCCAUCUCUGAAGCACUGCUAUGCAAAUUGGUCAUUCCUUUUGCAAGCUACAUUAAGACUUCGGUAAGCAGCAACUGCAGGGGCAAGCUGUGGCGUGAAGCGAGCGCCGUUACAGCAGCAGGAAUGGAUACUUUCCCAGAGAAGACACUGGGCGCCUGAAGAAAGAUGGCCUUGUUGUAAAGAUACGGCACUGGGAUUCCAGAGUUGCGGGCUCAGUUCCCUGCUCUGCUACUGCCACCGAGCUGGAAAAAGAACCCAGGAAUCCUGACUUCCACGUCUCCUGCUCUGCUCACCAGGCUGCAAGCCCCUUCUUCUUGAACUGCAUUUGCAAUCCAGCUUUUGAUUACCUCCCUCCUUAUUCCUUGCGUUAUGGCAAAAGGUGCCAAUGGCCUUGCACAAUAUCAGUCCCUGAUGGACAAGCAGCCUGGGUGAAACUCUCUGUAGAUAGAGUUGACGGUGCCAUUCAGUGACUGUCCCCAGAGAGGCUUGUAUGGGUUAAAGCACUCUCCGUUGAAUGAGAUAUACAUUUGAUUCCCUGCUCUACACCUGACUCUCUGUGUGGCCUUGGGCCUGUGGCCCGAGUCGCUGGAUGUGACCCCUCCCUGUACAUGCUUUAAAUAAACUACCGGCACUAAGCAAAC